rnacentral:rRNA from 1 species
GGGUCAGUAGGUUGGUCGUGCCACCGGUACGUACUGGUCUCACUGAUUCCUCCUUCCUGAAGAACCGUAAUGCCAUUAAUUAGGUGUUGCGGGGAAACAGGACAGUUACUUUGAAAAAAUUAGAGUGUUUAAAGCAAGCUAACGCUUGAAUACAUUAGCAUGGAAUAAUGAAAUAGGACGAUCGAUCCUAUUUUGUUGGUUUCUAGGAUUGACGUA